UACAGCAAAAUGGUGCCAAAGCGCUACC
rnacentral:piRNA from 1 species